rnacentral:lncRNA from 1 species
UUUUUCUAAUGAAAUUUUAGUUUGACCAAAAAAAACACUAAAGGAUCCAACUCUGCAAAUAGAUAAUUUAAAACAAAUUUGAGAGUAUAUGUAAAUGUGAAAACAUGGAUGCAUGUAUGAUGACAAGUGUGCAUGUGGGUGAAUGAAGAAGUAGAAUCUCGGGCACGGAGAAGGCGUGUCCGAUCAUUGAAAGCCGCCCACCAUUUUUAUUAUAUUUGGUUUCCAAGUACUGAUCUCUGCUCAAUUUGUAGAUAUUUUGUUUCGUGAACUAACUCCCUCUUUGCUCUCUUUCUCAACCUCAAUUUGUUUUGAUUAGUUUCCUUAAAAAUUAAUGCUUAUUUUAAAAGGCAAUAUAUUUCACCGUUUAUACACUCUUUUAGAGGUUGAUUGGUUAGUGUUUUGGCUGCUGUGGACAUCAAAAAAUAUUUCUACAGCCACAAUAUUUAACAAUCAAGCUUUGCUUUGAUUUUUGAAACCUACAGCUUUCGUUUCUUUUUUUUUUUUUCUUUUUGGCUGUAGACACUAAUAUUUUUGAAAAUAACAGUGCUUUAGAAAUUUAUUAAUAAAUUUACGAGUUUUAUAACAUACAAAAUCACAGCAAAAAUCUUAUAGUUAUAUCAAAAAAAUACACAGCAUAAAUUCUACAGUAAAAAACUAAAAUCACAGCUGCAACCAAUCAGACCAUUAGUCUUUCGUUUUUUUUUUGAUUAGUAAUUAAUAAUUAUCAACCCCAACCCAUGACUUCUUAAUUGAGAGCACAUGAAGAAUAUAAUCAAUGUUUCGUCAUAUCAUACCAUAUGAAAUAAAUUCUUGCAAUCGAUUUUUUCAUUAGUGAUUUUUUUUUUUGCAUAAAAUAGUGAAUUUAAGAAAUAAAUAUAGCAAGACAAAACCGUACGAAUAUUAGGAGCAUGUCAUAGUCUCCUUAAUAUAUAUCCGUAUAUAUAUGAAGCUGAAAAGCAUCUUGGAUCCGUG